GCGGCAUGCCUUACACAUGCAAGUCGAACGGCAGCAUAGGAGCUUGCUCCUGAUGGCGAGUGGCGAACGGGUGAGUAAUAUAUCGGAACGUACCCUAGAGUGGGGGAUAACGCAGCGAAAGUUGCGCUAAUACCGCAUACGAUCUACGGAUGAAAGUGGGGGAUCGCAAGACCUCAUGCUCAUGGAGCGGCCGAUAUCUGAUUAGCUAGUUGGUGGGGUAAAAGCCUACCAAGGCAUCGAUCAGUAGCUGGUCUGAGAGGACGACCAGCCACACUGGAACUGAGACACGGUCCAGACUCCUACGGGAGGCAGCAGUGGGGAAUUUUGGACAAUGGGGGCAACCCUGAUCCAGCAAUGCCGCGUGAGUGAAGAAGGCCUUCGGGUUGUAAAGCUCUUUUGUCAGGGAAGAAACGGUGAGCUCUAAUACAGUUUGCUAAUGACGGUACCUGAAGAAUAAGCACCGGCUAACUACGUGCCAGCAGCCGCGGUAAUACGUAGGGUGCAAGCGUUAAUCGGAAUUACUGGGCGUAAAGCGUGCGCAGGCGGUUAUGUAAGUCAGAUGUGAAAUCCCCGGGCUCAACCUGGGAAUGGCAUUUGAGACUGCAUGGCUAGAGUGUGUCAGAGGGGGGUAGAAUUCCACGUGUAGCAGUGAAAUGCGUAGAGAUGUGGAGGAAUACCGAUGGCGAAGGCAGCCCCCUGGGAUAACACUGACGCUCAUGCACGAAAGCGUGGGGAGCAAACAGGAUUAGAUACCCUGGUAGUCCACGCCCUAAACGAUGUCUACUAGUUGUCGGGACUUAAUUGUCUUGGUAACGCAGCUAACGCGUGAAGUAGACCGCCUGGGGAGUACGGUCGCAAGAUUAAAACUCAAAGGAAUUGACGGGGACCCGCACAAGCGGUGGAUGAUGUGGAUUAAUUCGAUGCAACGCGAAAAACCUUACCUACCCUUGACAUGUACGGAACCUCUGAGAGAUUAGAGGGUGCUCGAAAGAGAGCCGUAACACAGGUGCUGCAUGGCUGUCGUCAGCUCGUGUCGUGAGAUGUUGGGUUAAGUCCCGCAACGAGCGCAACCCUUGUCAUUAGUUGCUACGAAAGGGCACUCUAAUGAGACUGCCGGUGACAAACCGGAGGAAGGUGGGGAUGACGUCAAGUCCUCAUGGCCCUUAUGGGUAGGGCUUCACACGUCAUACAAUGGUACAUACAGAGGGCCGCCAACCCGCGAGGGGGAGCUAAUCCCAGAAAGUGUAUCGUAGUCCGGAUUGUAGUCUGCAACUCGACUACAUGAAGUUGGAAUCGCUAGUAAUCGCGGAUCAGCAUGUCGCGGUGAAUACGUUCCCGGGUCUUGUACACACCGCCCGUCACACCAUGGGAGCGGGUUUCACCAGAAGUAGG
rnacentral:rRNA from 1 species